GGGGGUGUAGCUCAGUGGUAGAGCAUUUGACUGCAAAUCAAAAGGUCUCUGGUUCAAAUCCAGGUGCCCCCU
rnacentral:tRNA from 2 species